rnacentral:rRNA from 1 species
CAAGCUUUACUAGCCCGACAAGCUUGGAGAUUAAUUUCCAACCUGGAUAGUUUGUGUGCCCAAGUGCUCAAAGCAAGAUAUUAUCCUAAUGGAAGACUAGAAAAUAGAGUUUUUGCGGGUAAUGCAUCGUCCUCAUGGCAAGCUAUAAGCUAUGGUCUAGAAUUACUAAAAAAGGGGCUGGUAUGGAGAGUUGGUAACGGAAAAAGUAUACGGAUCUGGAGAGAUAGUUGGAUUCUGAGGCCGCACUCAUAUAAACCCUUCUCUCCACAAGGUAGAUGCAGGAUCAUAUUUGCCUCAGGUUUAUUGAAUGAAAAUGGCUCUGGGAAUUACGCAUUGCUGAUGAAGUUUUUUGCUAUGGCCGAUGUAGCAGAGAUUAUGAAAAUCAAGGCUUCACCAAGUUCAGAGGAUGUGUUAUCUUGGGCACUUGGAAAGUUUGGUCAGUUUUCUAUCAAAAGUGCAUACGACUUGGCCUUCAAAGAGGCUCAUAGAGAAAGUGUUGUAUCCUCAAGUAGUAUGCCAUCUGGGGCGCGCUCUUGUUGGAGCUUUAUUUGGUCUUGUGAAAUUCCACCGACGGUUCGCAACUUUGGGUGGCGUGUAGCGACUAACUAUCUGCCUACCUGGCAGAGAAAGAAUAGAAUUGGGAUUAAA